ensembl:lncRNA
CUCCAAAACAGAAGAUGCCAUCCACCCAUCUUUAUUCUUUCUUUAAAAGAAAAUUCAAAUAAUGCACAGUUGGUGUAAAAACUGCAAACAGUAUGAGGGCAGAGAGAGUAAAAAUGUCCCUUGCCGGAGGAAAGCCCUGGGGGUAGCUUGGCACACGUGGUUCCCGAGUCUGGUUUUCCUCCGCCCCAGGCUCAGGAACACGGAGGGGCCGCUUUAACCACAGGGCAGCCAUUGCGUUGGCUUUGCCUCCAGCGGACUUCCGGCGCCUCCCUCCCACUAACCGGAAGUGCUGCGGGCCCUGGACCCAGCGCCAUUUCAGUGGAUCCUGCUUUGGACCCGGCAGCCCCUCUCUCGUCUUCCCUCACCCAGCUCUGCGCCCUGCGACACCUCAUCAGGGCCUGGGGCGGGGGUGCUGCGGCCUUUCACUCACUUGACCCGUCAUCUCUCCCAGCCAUCCUGCGGGGACAAGCACAGAAUAGUGGGGCGGCCCAGAGCGCAGGCCCUGAUCAGACUGUCGUGGGUGAUGUCCCAGCUUUACCGCUCAUGGGGUUCCCAAGAUCCUGACGGCCGAUGUGACCUCUGAGCCUGUUUUCUCAUCUGAAGGUUGGAGACAGCGUUCACCUCAAAGGGUUUCUGUGAGACGCUACUGUUACUGCUGCUGCUAAGUCGCUUCAGUCGUGUCCGACUCGGUGCGACCCCAUAGACGGCAGCUCACCAGGCUCCCCCGUCCCUGGGAUUCUCCAGGCAAGAACACUGGAGUGGGUUGCCAUGUCCUUCUCCAAUGCAUGAAAGUGAAAAGUGAAAGUGAAGUCGCUCAGUCGUGUCCGACUCUUAGCGACCCCAUGGACCGCAGCCCACCAGGCUCCUCCGCCCAUGGGAUUUUCCAGGUGACGAAACUGAAACUCAAUGAGACCAGCGGUCAAGUUCCCGCUGGUAGGAGGUGGCAGGAACCGGGGUUCUGACUGCGUGUGUCUGGCUCUGGAGCCCACGCUGCUGUCCCCACAGGCCACCCCUCUCUUUUGUCCCUUGGAGCACCUUCACAUGGGCCCACAGAGAAGCCAAGAAGCAAGGAUGGCAGCAGCAGAGCUGUACGGCGGCCCCACCCCUCUGGCUUUUCCCCGGUCAGAGGCUGCCGGGCCCAGAGGACAGCAGUCCCCCCUGCAGCAGACUGGGCAGCCUGCUGCUUGCAUCUGCUCUCUGAGGGCCUCAGUGUCUCCGAACAUAUAACAAUCGUGACUGUCUCGUCAUUCUGCGCUUUUGCGACCUCAAACCCCAGGAGGCCUCAGGGACCCAGACUCGCCUGGAGGUGGGAGGCCUGCCUGCCUCUCGGAGCAGACCAGGCCCUGGUGAGGGGCCAACCCAUGGUUAUGUUGCUCACCCCAGGCUCCCCUGGGGCCCUGCGGCGGGGCGUGGCGCUCAACAGGCCUGCUUGAUGAGAGCAAGUUUGGAAGGAGGUUUGGGAUGGGUGUGGUGGAGAGGGCGCGCCGGGCAGGCUCAGGUGUAGCCACCAGAGAGGGGGCACGCCCGCCAGCUUCCUCGGCUGUGCCAGACGGGCCGGGCAGCUUCUCCCACAGGCUGCACCCCUGGGCUGUCCUGUGUGACCCCCGCCCUUAGUGAAGAGUGGUGGAGGUGGACACACUCCCCUCAACACGGUCCAGGGCCCUGCCCUGCUGGGUGGUGGGUGAGGAGGGGCCCCGGAGCUGUGAGGCCAGGCAUGGGAGACCUGUCCUCACAGGCCCAGCUGGCCAGAGGCCUCGUCUGCCCCAGCCACCCUCCCCCAGAGGGAACGGGAGCAGACAAUAGCCAUGGGUGACUCACCAAUGAGCCAUCUUCCAUCCCCACCCCUGGCCUGGCCCAGAGCAUCCCAGCCUGUCUGUCAAGGGGGCUGGAGCCUAGUCCCUUCCUCUGUCCUCACCCAGCCCUGGGUGCCGCCCUCUGCAGAACAUCAGGCUUGAGGAGGGAGGGAUUCGACUGCAGGGGAUCCAGGCAGUUAGAGAAGAAUUCAUUUGUGAAAGCAGACACAGGGUCCCAUAUCUGGCCUGCUCUUCCCUGCCCUGCCCCUUCUCGCCUCUACAAGGCAACACCAACUCUCCCUGAAUCCCAGAGGAGGAGUGGUCAUUGUCUCUUCUUCUGGGAUAGAGCUUGGACCCCACAAUUUAUUCCCUUCCGCCAGACCAAAUAAGUGGAGAGUUCCAGUCUGUCUACUCCCUGAAGGACUGAGCUCACUGUUAAAAAACAUUUCCCUUUUGCUGAGUUUCUAUCUGCCUCCCUAUAGAAUCCACUAGAUACUAUUUCAAGAAUUUAAUAUCCACUCCCAGUCUUCCUCUACUCUAUAACUCUUUGCUCUCAACCAAAGUCAUUCCUCCUAGAAGACUGGAUUUAAAACAUUUUGAUACCUUGGCCUAUGUCCUCUGGAAUCAUUUCCAUUUAUCUGCUUUUUUCUUGUAACAUGGUCUCUAGAAUGGGACUUGGCUUUCCAGCCAAAAUCAGGCCAGCACAGAGAAUAGUACAGAAUCAUUGCCUCCGAAAUUUUGGCAUGGUGUAGAGCCCAUGAGCUCUGUUGUCUUGCUGGUCUGCAUUGAACUUGGGGUCAGCACACACCUCUUUGGCGAUUUUGGACUCAUGUGGCUGUUUAGCCAUGUCCAUGUUGAGUGGGUACACAGGUCACCCGGCCUGUGUGACUGUGGCC